UACGUAGGGGGCAAGCGUUGUCCGGAAUCAUUGGGCGUAAAGAGCAUGUAGGCGGCCAGAUAAGUCCGCUGUGAAAUCUCGAGGCUCAACUUCGAGCUGUCGGUGGAAACUGUCUGGCUAGAGUCCGGAAGAGGAGAAUGGAAUUCCUGGUGUAGCGGUGAAAUGCGCAGAUAUCAGGAAGAACACCAAUUGCGAAGGCAGCUCGCUGGGACGUUACUGACGCUGAGACGCGAAAGCGUGGGGAGCAAACAGG
rnacentral:rRNA from 1 species